ACCAGCCUCAAGGAGGAAUACACAGGGCUAAAGAGUAACUAAACCUUGAACUAUUGUUUGUUUGGUUAUAGAAAGGCUAUGGCUGGAGUCACCUGCGCUCUGUGUGCUGCACAAAGGAAACAGAUCAAACAGAGGCAAACAAUUGCCAUCUGCAGUCUAGAAAAUCUGAUCCAUAACAAAAGAUGAAUAUGCAUGAAAAGAUUGAGGAAGUUACUGUAUGGGGACUGUUGAGUCACGGUCUGAAUUGAUGGAGCACCUGGGGAAAGGACCCGGUCAGCCCUGGGAGCACAGGUGAAGGCAAUUCAGCUGUGUGAGCAGAAGGGCUGCAGCCUGGCUGCACCUCUCUUAGACCUCAUUUAAGGGCUGACUGCCACUGGGGAAGGAUUUCUGGUUGGAGAUCCCUCCUGUGUGGAGUUUUCCCUGUGAGCCUGGAUCUUCAGAGAUGGAUGCAGAAUUGUGUCUCCACUGAAAACAAAAAAAAAAGGGGUCUGUCGCAAGAAAAACUGAAUCAAAUUCUCCAGGAGUUUUUCAGUACAAUUAAGCUGUAGGAUAGUCCAUAUCAUAGGUGCAAAUCUCUCUGUUCAUUAUAGGACAGCUGACAAGGAUAUGGCAAAAGGUAAAACCAGGAAUUAUGUCUUUAAGGGCUCAUUGUAAUCUAAUUUUAUUGGUGGUACCCUCCCCAACAUAAUGAACUUUGAUGAAAUAAUGAAGUAGUUGUGGCGCCUGUGAAACUGAGCAGGCAGCUCUGCCAGUUAAAGACCUCCCAUGAACACAAUCACCCAGGCAACAACUCUGGGCUGCAGUGAAGCCAGAAACUGGCAAGUCAGCUCUUCCAUCUCUUAGCUCCUUGCAAUUCUGCUUUCUGAGACUUGGGGAAAGAAAAAAGAAAUAAAAAAGAGAGGGAGAAGAUGAAGAAGAAGAAAAAAAGAUCAUCCACUUACAUCUGUGGUUGAAGGAUAUAGCUUAAAAAAAAUAAAUUCUGUCAGAAUCCACUGAGUUGUUUAAAAUGACUCCAAGUUCGGCAGCCAGCAGAGUUACAGAAACCAUAAGGCUGGCUCUGCCACUGAAUAAGUUCAAAUAUCUAAGGAAAUGAAUACAAGGAAGACUUUAAAUAGCAAUAUUUUUAAUUCGGCAAGAUUUCCACCCCCUGCUAGACUUGGAGAGAGUGCAACAGAUGGUUACAGGAAUCUGUGAAUUUAUCAUUGUUAUUUUUAAGAAGUUGGAUCUGUGGAACACAAACAUUUAAUAAUGGAUAUAAUUAAAUUCUUUGCUAGUUAGUUUGACUCGAGUCAAUUGGCACUGUAAUGCCAUUUCAUUUACAUAAAAUGUAUAGUAAUUGUGGUUCAGAGAACUGUGAUUUUACAGAGCUGGAACUACAGAUGGAAUAAAGAUAAAAGAAAUCAGAGUUAACAACACCCCUAUGAUCUCAGAUAAUGUCUCAUAUUUGGAGUUUAGGUAUUCAAACUCUAAUCUCUAUAAUCAAACUCAGGUCCAAAUCAGCUAGAAACACAAGCAUUUUCAGUGUGACUAAUGACUUUGGGCACUCCAAUUUCCAGAUGAUUAAAUGAUGAUGUUUUCAAGUGACCUGAUUUUGAUAGUUGUUAUUAAAGCAAUUCUGAAAAUUAGACUCCCCUAGUGGUGGAAACCCCAUGGCAUCAAUGAAUUACAUGGAAUUUCUGCCACCAUGACGAUGAACUUUUCUAAGAACUGAUGACCACGUUUUCAGUAAGAACAAAGCUACCUUUGAAAGCUUUACCUGAAGUUGAUCCUGAUGCUUAAUCUGAAAAUCAUCUAACUGGUCUAUCUCUACACACAAAUUCUUAUUUUGUUUGAAACUGUAGCACCUCCCUGUUUGUUUUUUUAAACAAACAUCGACUUAUUUUAAGUCAAUAAGGCUGAUGAAAGCUGAAUGUAAUUGCUUAUUGGUAGGAAUUUUUAUUUUGAAAGCAGCUGUCUUUAAGAGGCUGCUUCUCAGUGACUCUUGAGAUAUCAGCUUCUGAAAGUAGACAAAUACAAAUUGGAGUAAAAUCACAACCAGGCUUACUGGGAAUGUUCAGCGUAUCAAUCCCCAUUAGAGCUUCUCAGGUUCUGGGUCUUCCUGAGGCCGCAGUCUUGUGUUCAUCGAUAAACGUGACAGUCACUCCCACACAAAGGUUUGGAAGCCUUUCAAGGGAUUAAAUCAUCCUUCUUCCACUCAGUAGAAGGUUCAGCCAUAUCAAUGUGCGUAUAAAUACUACUAUGUGAGUAUGCACAGGAUUGUAUGUGAGAUAGGAUACGGGUAUCCAGGAUUUGUGCCAUUCUACGAAGUUACAAAUUAGACCCAAGCUAACCAGAUUGUUAUGGAUAUGGGCCUAGUCAUUACACUGAUUUUGUGGUUACAGAGCAAGAGGUUGUGCCUUUUCAACAAUAUAUCUCUGAUUGCUCAUGAAGGCUUUUGGAUGAUUGUGGCAAUGGAUUACUGACUCAGUUUCUCGUUGCCUGCUUGUCAGAGAGAUCCAUUUCCUAUUUUUACUGGGACUACUCAAAUUGUCCAUCCAAAUUAAACGCAAAAGCAAAAUGUGCAGCUAUUGUGUAGGCUCUAAGCCAACGCUUGUCAGCAGUCAAUAGAGGAGCAGCUCCCAGAUGUCUCUUUUACCUGAAGAAACUAAAAGUACAUGGUGUCCUUUUAAUCUGGAAACAAAAGAGAACAAAGGCAAACAAAUGGAGACCAAAUUAUCUAGCCUUGAGAUCUGAAUUUACUCCAUAUUGAACUUCUGGUUCCUACCUAAUGAGCCCAUGCUGUUGCUCGCUAGUGAAUGAGAACAAAGAAAAGUGACUCAUGCUGCCUUGUUACUGUUACAUAAUCUAUACAAGUAAUUUAUUUUUAUGGUUAAUUACUGGAUUAGUAAGGUAUAUUGGAAAUGGAGAUGUGUAUAAUGGCAAGGAGAUGUGGCAGAAGGACUUACAGGAGAUUCAAAUGGUUGUCUGUAAAACUGUGCAAAAAAUAUCUGUCAGUACAUCAUGCAGGAAAAUCUCCAUAAAGCAUGACUGCUUUCAGGGUUGGUCAUUUGUGUUAACACCUCAAAGUGUGGCUGGAUUCCAUUCGGCCUCAGUAGGCCUUUGUCCUUACAUUAGUCUUUUUUUUUUUUUUUUUUUUUUUUUUUUUGCAGUGACAAAACUCCCUUUAUUUCACCUCGGUGAAUAACUUCUGCUCUUACCUGCUGGGGAAACCUGGAGUCAGUAUUUGUUCCUUCUCACAUGAUUACACAGGGCCAUUUCUAUAGCCUCGCAAAAUCCCUGCUGUAUUAAUCACCACAGAGCUGUGAGAAUAAGGGAUAUAAAUCUUCCAAACCACAGUCAAACUACUAGAGAUUGGUUUAUGUCAUUUACAGAAAGGUAGAAAUAAUAAUCAUUCUGAAGUGUCUGGAUGCAUCUAACUCUGUACUAGAUAUGCAAGUAUGCAUUUGAAGCUGCAACAAUCCUUUGGUCAUCAAAUGACCUAGAUUGGGAUUACAUGCUGAGGCAUCAGUCUAAUAUGAAAUUACUCCGUGUUUUUAUUGUAAUGACCAAUUAAGAAUCAGCACCUCAGAAACCUCAGGUAGCAGUUUUCCAUGAAAUAAACAUCGACCUUGAAAAUGUGCCCCUUCUGAAAUCCUAAUGCUGAUGUAUUCUGAAAGGGUCAGACCGUCACCAUGGUGUUGGCAGGAGUGAGUUGUGUUUGGCUGCCGAGUGCCAAUACAUCCUCCAUGCCAAAGAUUAGUUGUGAGCAGGGAAGUUGCUAGGAGCCGGGGGUAAACACAAAUGCUCCCUGCUUUCCUUACAGCUCUGCUUCAAAGUCCUGCAGCACGCUCAUGAAUGUACCCAAUGCUCCUCUUCCCUCCUUUAACAACAUGUGGUACAUGGGGACCCAACAGAUUGGAUUUGGAGCUCUGUGGUGCUGAGCUGAAAGAGAUUCCACUGUAUUUCAGAUAAAAGUCUUCACUGCUGGCUUUCCCACAGUUCUAUGCUCAUCGUGUUUUGCUUCCCUUAUGAUGUCUGACAAACAAGUCUCAUGAAACAAGAGAGAAAAAUGAAAUGUCUGUAUCUCUCAAGCUUUGCAUUUUGAUAGUCUUUCACUUUCAAGAAACUCACGAUGUGCUGAAAAAUUGAUGCAUUUGCCUUACUUUUUUAUUUGUUUGUUUCCUCAGAACUAUGCUGUUCCUACUUCAAACUUCUAAGGAAUUAUGAAAAAAUAAAAAUCUGAAUAAUAUCACUGCUGGCAAUGAAUGCUUCAUCUGUUUUGUUCAACUGAAGUUCAGAAGCU
ensembl:lncRNA